CUGUGUUUUUUUGCUUGGGCUAUAGUGGAGUUUUAAUGAUGAAUUAAUUAUCCUGCUGCUGCUUUAGUACUAGGGACAUGUUUAGAUCACAAAAUUAGGCAUUGCUUGAAGAAUGGGAAAAGCCUGCAGAUAAAAGUUCCCAAAGGAAUGUAAUCCAUCAGGAAACCCAACAGUUUGGUGGUUUGUUAUGAAGCUGGCUAGAAUGCACUGAUUUACUAGUCAUUUAAUUAUUAAUGGAGCUUCUUCAGUGAAAUAUGUCGGAAAGUGAAUCAGUGGGGAACAGUGCUAUGGAAAGCCCAGGAAAAAGCAGUCCCAAGAUGGACAGCGGCACUUCUCGAGUCAUAAUAAUUGUAUUCCUGGCUCUCCUGAUAGAUCUGCUAGGAUUCACUCUUAUUCUACCGCUGCUUCCCUCAAUUUUGGAUGACUAUGGGAAGACACAUGAUGGUGUAUAUCAAUUACUACAGAGCAUCGUGGACUGGUUUGGUGAAACGAUAGGAGUUCCUGUUGAAAGAAAAUACAACAAUGUUCUCUUUGGAGGUCUGGUCAAGGACUAUUUUGGAAGAAGACCAUUAAUGAUGAUUUCAACAGUGGGGUUGAUGGCUUCUUAUGCACUCUGGGCUGUUUCCUGGAACUUCAGUGUCUUCCUUCUCUCGAGAGUGGUUGGAGGAAUAUGCAAAGGGAACGUCAGUCUUUGCACAGCUAUCAUUGCUGACCUGCCGUGCCCCAAAAUGCGAAAAAAAGGAAUGGCCAUGAUUGGUGUUGCCUUCUCCCUUGGUUUCACUGUUGGCCCAAUGAUUGGUGCAUACUUUGCUAUGAACACAGCCAAGCAGGAGAUAUUUUACCUUAGCCCAGCACUGUUGGGCCUAAUGUUUUCUACUGCUGACUUAUUAUUCAUCUUCCUAAUGCUUCCAGAGACGCUUCACAAAGAAAACAGAGUGAGUUACUGAAGACAGAUAACUUUUAAGGAUCUUUAAUAAUGACGACACUGGUCAUACAAAAUGUCAUGUGUUCUAGUGCGGUUAGUGGAAGCCUCUUUUUUAUAGACCACGGGAGCAUUAUGACUCGCCCUCUAAACACAAGCCUAGUCUGCAUUCCAUACAUACUAGAUUAGCUCUAGUCUAUGCCCAUCUGGACCUUGAAUAGGUUUUUGGUUAAAGUUGGUGAGGGUCUGUAAAAAGAAUGAGGGCUAUUAUUCUGAUAACUAAAUCUACCAUAAAUAGCGUUACUGUGCUGUAUGCAUUAAGCGAUAUGGGUCAGCAAUCCUUAUUUUUAAAAUAGUAGCAUAUUACAGUUGAGAUUCCAUUGAUUUGUAUUGUUAUAUGUCAGCAUGGGGAAAACAAGGGUAUAUUAAUACAUCUGUCCAAUGGUUGGGCAUGCUGGAAUUUGUAUAUGGCACUUUCAACUCACAAAACAAUUUGCUUGUUGAAUUGUGUUAUGUAGAAUAAGCUGAACGUGAAUUAAAUAGCUAUAAUAAAUUCCACCUUUCCCUUGAACUUUUCAGUUAUUUUGAGUUCAGCGUAUGCAUUAUACUGAGACUGAGCUAAAAGUGGACUUGCCCAAGGUCUCACAGUUAGUCUUCUGCCAAAUGAUAUCUGUUAAGACCCGAGGGCUGCUUCAGUAUAUUUGUGAUUCUUUUCAAGAUCUUCAAUAAUAAUACCUUUAAAAUCUCUUUUACUGAAAAGCAGUCCAACAGCUUCAAAGAAACUUAUUUAGCCCAUACAAGAAUUCUGUUUACCCUCUCCAACCCUUUCUAGAAUUCCUCAUGUAAUCUAGCAGAAAUCUCUGUUUCUCAGGUUCCUUCUGUAAAUUCUGGGUUACAGGAAUCUGUUGACUUGCUCAGCCCAAUGGCACUGUUUCAGUUCUCUGCUGUUACUAGAAGAAAGGAUUCUCCUUCGAAGGAAAGUCUGCAGAACCUUAAAGUACUGGGCUUGGUCUACUUUUUCUACCUGUUUCUCUUCUCUGGACUGGAGUACACACUGAGCUUCCUCACUCAUUAGCGCUUCCACUUUAGCAGCAUGCAGCAGGGAAAGAUGUUUUGCUUCAUUGGAAUUACAAUGGCUGUCAUCCAAGGAGGUUACGCCCGGAGAAUCAAACCAGGAAGUCAGAUUAAAACCGUCAAGAGGGUGAAUACAAGGACUUCUGAAAAAUAUUGACCUAGGUUUCUAGCCAUGAUUUUUAAAACAAGAAAACAUAUAACAGCAUACCAACAAUGAUAUCAUUUAGGCGAUAAUCCUUUUGAUCCCAGCUUUCGUUCUGGUUGGUUUGGCUUGGAAUAUAACAAUGCUGUACAUUGGGUUGUUACUAUACUCAUUUGCUGCUGCUACUGUUGUGCCAUGCCUGUCCACACUGGUGUCUGCAUAUGGUUUGGCCAGUCAAAAGGGGACUGUGAUGGAGAUUCUUCGCAGUCUGGGCGCUCUUGCAAGAGCUUUAGGACCGAUUAUAGCAUCAACUGUGUAUUGGUGGGCUGGAGCAGAGAUAUGUUUCAUUAUUAGUUCUGCCUUCUUCAUUGUUCCUCUUGUGCUUUUGAGGCUUAUCAAACAGACGAAAACAGAGUGAAGAGAAGAUUGCCUCCAUUUAUUUAGUUAGUCUUGUUGGAAUUGAGGUUUUAGCAAUUAAACCAAAUGGUGCAUUUGCCAACUGUACAAAGUCCACUUCUUUAGGAUGACUCUGUAAGGUUAGUUUGCCAAGCACUUUGUUGUUCACACUUCACACCAAACCCUCUAAAUGGACCCAGUGUGAACACAGCCUAACACUAUAAAAAUACAUCAGAAUAAGGUCUGUGGAAGAACACAUUUAUCAAUUUAUGGUAGAUAGUACUUCUCAAAUUAAGCUGCUUUGGUGGGAUAUGGGAGUAACUGGUAGCUCAUGAGACAAAAUUCAAGUUUAGAGCCAGAUAUUAUGCUGCACUUAAAUAAGUGUUAGAUGAAUAAUCAUUUGUUUUAAAUAUAACCAUAUAGUACUUCUAUUGAUGCCAUACAAGUGCCUUUGUGUUUGUAUACAGUUUUUUUUACAAAUAAAAUAUUUGAAAUUUUUGUAUGUGUCAUUUUGUGGAGGAAGUUCCCUUUAACAAGGUUUGGUCGAUCAAUAAAUAUGUUUCCCUUUCAAGUUGAAAAUAACCAUCAAGGUAUGGGACAUUGCCGUCAGGCAGUAUGGAUUGGCUGAGCUUUAUAAC